rnacentral:piRNA from 1 species
UGGCACGAAGGGGUCUACAGAGCCAC